rnacentral:lncRNA from 1 species
GGGUUGUGAGAUUGAGCCCCACAUUGGGAAGGGAGGAGUUGGGGUUGUGCAGAGAGUUGGGGUUGUGUACGCUGGGUGUGGAGCCUACUUAAGAUUCUCUCCCUUUGCUCCCUGCCCCCCUCCCACCGAAAAAAUGGGUUUAUCAUUCAGGACACUUAGAAAUCCAGGAUGGAGAAAAUCAGGAGUAACUGAGAUUGGUUGAAUGGACAUGGUGUCUCAUUUGAGAGAAUGAUAAAGAUUCUCAUUGUAUAAAUUGGGGCUAUAUUGUAUUUGGCUAUAGAUAAUACAACACUCAACUGAUAAUAAGGUGGUUUACUAUUCCUCUGUUCCUUAAAAAUACAAGUAUUUUAUUGAAUUGAAUGUAAGGGAACACCAGAGUAGGCAAGGGCAUAUUAUUAUAUGGUGGAUGUGCAGCUAGACAGAAAUUCCUACACCACCAUGGGUAACAGACUUCUGUCCUCUUCCCUCCACCUCAGACUGGAUUUUGGUAUAGUUUGGUUUUGGUUGAUGUCUGAUUUCAAAUGAGGGAAGUGGGACGUUAGUAGCUGAAGGCAAGCCAGCCAUCCAGUCCGUCCAUCUCAUGUAGGUGCCCUUGAAGGAGUCUGUCCUCUCGUCAGAAACAUGGUGGCAUGAGGCACCUGGGUGGCUCAGUGGUUAAGCAUCUGCCUUUGGCUCAGGGUGUGAUCCCAGGGUCCUAUGAUCGAGUCCUUCAUCAGGCUCCCUGCAGGGAGCCUGCUUCUCCUCUGCCUAUGUUUCUGCCUCUCUUUCUCUGUGCCUCUCAUGAAUAAAUACAUAAAAUCUUAAAAAAAAGAAACAUCGUGUCAAAAACAUAUCUGGGAGUGCUGAUUUUAAUUAGCGAGAGAUGGGCCUGUGCCCCGGUUUUCCAUUUGGUCCUGCCUUCCUUCAAAAAAGGAUUCCUUUCAUGUGAUUUCCCAAGAUGUGUGUCCACAUAUGCCUCAGUCAUCAACGUGCCUCAGUUUCCAGAUUUGCACACUGGAUUCUUCUUCACCAAAUGGAAGAUAAAAAUAUUUACACAUGUCCCUGAGAAAGAAACUUGCAGCCAGUCCUCUCUCAUUUUUUUCAUGCUUUAGAAAAAUAUUUAAUAUCAUGAAAAAUAUUUAUGAUAGAUCAAGCGAAAGAGGAAUACAGAAUAUGUAUAAUGCAAUUCCAAAUUCUAAAAUGGAGGAAAAUCAACUAGAAUGUUAACAAUUAUAACCUUUGACUAUGGGAUGAAGGGAGACUUUCAGUUUCUCAUUUAUACUACACCUUAUUUCCAGUACUUUGUAGGGCUUUCAUUUAAGACCAGAGGCUUAGGAUUGUGUCUUAGUUCUAUCACUUAUUCGGAUGAGUUAAAUAACCUUCCAGAGCCUCUUUUCCUUGCAUGUAAAAUCCAGCACUCUUUUGAUUCACUCUUGCCCCAGUGUAGCAGCGCAUACCUGCCUUGGACUUCUGUGCAUUUUUCUAGGUUCUGCAGAACAUCCAUUCUGACAUAAAGGCAUUCUUGGGAUUCUUGGCUGCCUGAUAGAGAAGAUAUGAAGAUUCUGCGAACUCUAGUCUCAGCAGGUAGAAGGGAACAUCAGAGAUCCGGAGACACCGCUUAACCCUCUUAGAAAGGGCUCUGUAUCUUUUCUUUAUAGCAUAGUAGAGUGUGGAGGCAGAUGGCAACUUUUACUAGAACCUCAGUCCAGAGAAGCAGCCUUCAGAGAGUCAACCCAGGAUACUGAUCAGCUGCCUACUGAACAUGUUCACUUUGACAAAGAGAAGAGCCUUUCCUUUGUUUUGGGGCUCCUGACCUCUCCUCAAGUAAUUCUGAGUGCUCUGAUAUAUAGUUGGCAUAGUCUGCUCAGGCUGCCAUAACAAAAUAUCAUAAGUUGGUGGCUUAAACAAUAGAAAUUUAUUUUUGUACAGUUUUGGGGGCUGGGAAUCCCAGGUCAAAAUAUGAGUCUAGGGGCGCCUGGGUGUCUCUGUUGGUAAAGCAUCUGCCUUUAGCUCUGGUCAUGGUCUUGGUCCUGGGAUCCAGUUCUGAGUCAGGCUCCCUGCUUGCCAGGAAGUAUACUUCUCUCUCUCCUUCUCCUCCCCCCACCCCCAGCAUUACUUGUGAGCUCUCUCUCUUUCUCUCUCAAAUAGAUAAAGAAAACAAUCUUCCAAAAGAACCACCUCAAAUUACCAGUCUAUUCAGUUCUGGGUGAGAGCUCUCUUCUGGCUUGUAGAUGGCCAACUUCACACUGUGUUCUCACAUGGCAAAGGGAGGGAGGGAGAUGGAGAAAGAGAGAGAGAGAGAGAGAUAGAGAGAGAGAGACUGACUUAUGUUUUUUCUUAUAGGGCCAUGGUCCUGUCAGAUCCAGGCUUUGCCCUUAUGACUUCAUUUAACCUUGAUGAAUUCCGUAAAGGCCCUAUCUCUAAAUACAAUUACAUUGAUGGUUAAGACUUCAAUGUAUGCAUUUGAAGAGCACAUAAUUCAUAGCAGUAGCACUAAACAUUUGUAGGUCUUCUUCAAAGAGAAAAAUUUCCGCCCCAGCAUCCAAGUCCCUAUGCUUUCCAACCCAGGGGCCCAACUGAGUGUUCACAGUCCUUGAUAAUCCCAUGCAGAAGUUUCAAUGGGCUUUCAGUACCCAUUUGGCCACCAUGGCCACCAUGUCUAAUGUAGACACCUCUAGUCAUCAGCUAAGAAUCCCGAAUUCUACCAAGGAGCCAGCUACCACUGUGCCUUACAGCUGUCAUUAGAUCAGAAAAUACAGACAGGACUUCUGUCUUAAUGUUUUCAAGAGGAGGGAGGGGCCACAUGGCCAGAUCAUAAGCCAUGUGUAAUUAUUUUGUUAUUAUGGUGAUCUCUGGGUGGCUCAGUGGUUUAACACCUACCUUUGGCCCAGGGCAUGAUCCUGGAGGAGCCCGAUGUGGGACUCGAUCACGGGAUUCCAGGAUCAUGCCCUGAGCCAAAGGCAGAUGCUUAACUGCUGAGCUACCUGUGUGUCCCCUUGGAUUAAUUUCCUAUCAUUGCAGUAUAUUCAGUGCAUGGACAAGAGCCAAAGAAAAGCUUCCUAGGACAUCACUGAUGUUCAGACUUGAAUCUUCCACUCUCCUACUUCAGGCCAUUGCAGUGGGUUGAGAUCAUCUUCUAUAACCUUGUGGCUGAGGUGCUUUGAGAGCAGCUGAACCCCUCUCCCUCUUCCGUUUACCUGGGAGCCCCCCGGGUAGGCAGUGAGUGAGGGGAAGGUGCUCAAAAAGCACAUGUUGAAUCCCAAACCAAAAGUGAGCCACAAUAUCCAUGGAGGCUGAGCUUCACAAACACCAGUCCUGGGAUGAACAAUUGUCAACAUGUGGUGGCUUGAGCUCUGUAACAUUUAUUCUAAACAAAGGGGUUCUCCCCUCUUUGACCAUCACACCUCCAGCGUAUCCUGUAAAUAUAAAAAUUACUCCAAACCACUGCAAAGCCCUGGUUGUUCCUCUUUAAUAAUCUCCCCUGUGGGGCAGCCCGGGUGGCUCAGCGGUUUAGCACCGCCUUUGGCCCAGGGUGUGAUCCUAGAGACCCGGGAUCGAGUCCCACGUCAGGCUCCCUGCAUGGAGCCUGCUUCUCCCUCUGCCCGUGUCUCUGCCUCUCUCUCUCUCUCUCUGUGUCUCUCAUGAAUAAA